rnacentral:snRNA from 1 species
AUCGCUUCUCGGCCUUUUGGCUAAGAUCAAGUGUAGUUUUAAUGCUUUACAUACAAAUUAUAUAUAUAUAUGUUUAUAUAUAUAAACAUAU